rnacentral:lncRNA from 1 species
CCUCUUCAGGACCUGGAAUGCAGACACUUGGAAAAUGACUUGGUGAAUGGAAAAAAAGCUGAGAAUUGGAAGGGAACUAACAGGAAAAUUAGAAGCUACAGAGAAGCUGGAGAAAUGGAGCACAAUGCAGAGAAAAGAACAAAGCAGUCUAAGUUCUCUGCACGUACAGGAACUUCUGGGAGAAGCAAUGGACCUGGUCAGCAGUGCUAGUUCUAAGAAAAGCCCACAGGCUUCUUUUGAUCAGCCUCUUGAAGUGGUCACCACUAGGAACCCAAUCAUGAGCUGUACAAAGGCGGCUGACCCAGUUCAUCCUGGCUUUGCUGGUUUGCUGAUGAAAAACAAGAAUCUUUUAUCUGAGCUAAGAACUCUCCAAAGAAAGCUUUUCAGAGAAGAGACUUUGUUGCAAGAGACAAAGACUGAACUAACAAGGUACAAAGAACAACAGUCGUUCCAGAUCAUGUCCCUGAGAGAUGAUGUCAAGGACCUACAGGAACUUAUUACAUCCCUAACCAGAAUUAAGUCUUUGAAAAACUCCUGUAUUCAGAGUCUUGAAAGAGGCAACUGGGAUCUAACUAAACGAGUUACAGAACUAGAAAAUUUUCUAAGAGAAAAAGGAGAGCAAAAAACAGACUUUUUGAUGAACAAGUUGUCACAUACGAGCAGAUUCCCUCCUGUGAAUAUAAAAGGAUAAGAAGAUUCUUUGGAUAUUUUUCUAGCGAAGGUGUAGGUAAUUGAAGAGAACCUUAGGAAGUACAAGUCAUUGAAACCAAGGCACAAGAAUCGCACAGCUGAAGUGUUGGUGGUUUAUGGACAUUGGCCAUGAAGGCUAGAAUUGUGGUGUGACUUGAGUUAAAGGAAGUGAGCCUGAGCUCCAGGAGGCAGUGACUCAUAAGAUAAGUAGACGUUACUCAGAUCUGGAAGAGGGGAGAUGCACCUCUGAUCUUUUGUUCCCUAGCUCUUUUAUUCUGCUUCUUUUCUCCCUCUAGCUUUUUAGUGACACGAACCCAUCAUUACUUGCAUAAUUCUUACUCUUUCUUC